rnacentral:rRNA from 1 species
AUUGAACGCUGGCGGCAGGCUUAACACAUGCAAGUCGGACGGUAGCAGGAGAAAGCUUGCUUUCUUGCUGACGAGUGGCGGACGGGUGAGUAAUGCUUGGGGAUCUGUCUUAUGGAGGGGGAUAACGACGGGAAACUGUCGCUAAUACCGCGUAGAGUCGGGAGACGAAAGUGCGGGACCUUAGGGCCGCAUGCCAUGAGAUGAGCCCAAGUGUGAUUAGGUAGUUGGUGGGGUAAAGGCCUACCAAGCCGACGAUCGCUAGCUGGUUGAGAGGAUGGCCAGCCACACCGGGACUGAGACACGGCCCGGACUCCUACGGGAGGCAGCAGUGGGGAAUAUUGCGCAAUGGGGGCAACCCUGACGCAGCCAUGCCGCGUGAAUGAAGAAGGCCUUCGGGUUGUAAAGUUCUUUCGGUGAUGAGGAAGGUUGGUGUGUUAAUAGCAUGCCAACUUGACGUUAAAUACAGAAGAAGCACCGGCUAACUCCGUGCCAGCAGCCGCGGUAAUACGGGGGGUGCUAGCGUUAAUCGGAAUAACUGGGCGUAAAGGGCACGUAGGCGGACCUUUAAGUGAGGUGUGAAAUCCCCGGGCUUAACCUGGGAAUUGCAUUUCAUACUGGGGGUCUGGAGUACUUUAGGGAGGGGUAGAAUUCCACGUGUAGCGGUGAAAUGCGUAGAGAUGUGGAGGAAUACCGAAGGCGAAGGCAGCCCCUUGGGGAUGUACUGACGCUGAUGUGCGAAAGCGUGGGGAGCAAACAGGAUUAGAUACCCUGGUAGUCCACGCUGUAAACGGUGUCGAUUUGGGGAUUGGGGUUUAGCCCUGGUGCCCGAAGCUAACGCGAUAAAUCGACCGCCUGGGGAGUACGGCCGCAAGGUUAAAACUCAAAUGAAUUGACGGGGGCCCGCACAAGCGGUGGAGCAUGUGGUUUAAUUCGAUGCAACGCGAAGAACCUUACCUACUCUUGACAUCCGAAGAAGAACUCAGAGAUGGGUUUGUGCCUU